GAGCGGCGCGGAGCUACCACGCCCUGCCAGACUCGCCCUUGGGUCCCUGUCUGACGAGCUCUAGGCAAUCUGCCCUCGUUCGGGACACAACCAUCGGUCUCACCCCUCAGUUUCUGCCAGAGAAAAAGGAAAAGUCACCGAGAGGCCUGACCCUGACGGGUGGGGGAGAUGCGCGUGCGGAGUAGCGGGAAGCGACUGAGGAGCGGGGAAUGGGCAGCAUUUGAAUGGAUGCGGGUGCCGCUGGCACCCGGGAAGACGCUGGGGGCCGGCGCUGUAGAGCCGGGCAUGGGCUGGGAUGUGUUUGGAUUCCAAUCCGGGCCUGACACCAGUUCAGUGACCUCGGGAAGUUCCCCAACCCUCCGGGCCUGUUUCCUCCCUCUGAAGUGGCGACAGUAGUAGAACCGACCUCGUAGGCUCAUCGGGAGGUCCUGAUGGGAGAACCCAUGCAACUUGCCACCAUAGAGCCAGGCCCGCGGCGGUUGGCGCCUGGUGGGUAUUAAAGACGAGUCGGGAAAGAAGAGCAGGUAAGAGGGUGGGGAGACUGGCCCAGUGGGUUGGGGUGUGCACCUCGGCCACGUGGAAAAGCGAGAAUGCAGAGGCCGGACGCUUAUGGACGAUGCAUAUGUGGGGCCGGAUAGAAUUGUGGCAGGCGGCGCUGGGGCUGAUGCUCCUCACCCGGAUUAUCCUCUCUAAUCCUCAGCCCUGUGAAGUGGGCACUGCCCUGAACAUUUUGUAAAUAAGGGACCCGAGGCUCAGAGAGGUGAAGUAACUUUCCAGACAGCCCAGCUCGUCAGCGGCCAGCAUUUGAAGUCACACUCCAGAGCCUGUUUUUAACAUAAUAGCCGCUGUGACCGCAUAACCAACGUGUGUGUUGAAGUGAUCAAAUAACCAUGGAGUGUCUUUGAUGUCCAGGACUUUUGAGAAAUACCGAAAAA
rnacentral:lncRNA from 1 species